CAUGCGCACGAGGAACCAAAGAACUACAAUUUCCAGACUGAUGUGGGUUGUUCUGGGGCUUUUUUCCUGGAGCUACGGAGUAGUUCUUGCGGCCACAUUACCUCCUUUCCUAGCACACGAAAGACUGGUCCGGUUUUCCGACAAAGAGCAUAAAGACCUCAAGAGUUAAACUUGGUACUAAUCCUUAAAUCAGAGGAAGGGCGGGGAAGCGAAUGGUCUUUGAGCCAAUCAGAAUGCAGUCUCUAAUCCUUGCUCCAGCUUUCAACAACCUCUCAGUGCGUCUCUAUGGCAACCAAAUCAGCAUUUCCCUGAAAGGAAACGGAAAUGGAAGUAUGACCUCGGAAAUUUCGCCCCCGUGGGAAAAGGCUGAGGAAACCGAAUCCCUGAAAGAAGGCAGAAGAUGGAAUUGAUUUUUGGGAUGAGGCCCAGAAGUGGAUCAUGGCCAGAUAUGAAGAGGAAAUGGAUCUCAUUUUUGGUGAGAAAGCCUUGCAUUCUAUAUUUUCUUACCUGACAUAGUGUGUCAAUGAUUACAAGCUAUAUUUUUUAAUUUUAAAAAACUUUUAUUAUUAUAUUUUUCUUGCAUGUGUAAUAUACUUUUUCAGUUUUUUUAAUUUUUUCUCUCCUUUUUAUAUUUAAAGCACAUGUCACCAGCAUUAAGAUUUUCUUUUGCAGUAAUAUAAGUUUAAAAUACAUUUGCUAAUGCAUGCCCUCAAAGCUUGAGACUAUAAAAAUGAUGCUACUAAUUAUUUUUUAAAAAUUAUGGGACUUUACUUAAUAAUUCUGUCUGACUCCAGGACAAGAUAUACACAAAAGAGCCAUUGCACAGUGCCAAAGAAGCACAAAGCUAAACUGCAUAGUGCUAAUCGAGCACAAGGUCAAAGAGACCUUGGGUGGUCUUGGGUGGGAUUGAUGUAAUUUUGAGCCUAGACAAAGAGGACUUGAACAUGUUUGGGGUUUGAGGUUGCAGCUGUUUAACAUGUGUUAAAGGCAGGUCUUCCUUGUUCCACAUUUUACCAAGUAUCUUAAAUUUGGCUCCUACAAUCUAGUCCCUUUUUUCUGUCUUUGAACGUGUGGUAACUUUCUGUAGUCCUGGCUACUGACUGGGUAAAUGCAUCAUUACUUAGAUCAUUUUAAUUGGGCCCUGAUUCAAGGACUUGUUAUAGAUUUAUUUUUCCUUCACUUAGAAUUUUUACACAUAAGACUUUGAUAGUCUAUAUUUUCAUCCAGAAAAUUUUCUUUUUUAUUUGGAUUUUUCUGAUUCUUUUUAAUUUCCCUUACCAAUUGAUUCACCUCAACCAUGCAUCCCUAAGUGAUCCUGUGUUUUUUUUUUCCAAUCACCCACAACAUGGGGAAAUGUAAAAAAUAUUAUUUUAAAUUGCAAAGUUUAAAUUCCUUUUGAGAAGAAUUUUAGGUAAAGAAAGAUGCUACCUCUCUGAAUCCAGAAACUGAACUGUUGGAGAAGACACCAUGAAGAAGCCUCGAGACCACAAGCUGCACAAGAAUGAACUUUGGGUGCAGUUGAUUGAACAUUUAUUUGUAUGUAUACUUUCAUGCCAAAAGGGACUGCCCCCUAACUGGUUUUUUGUCAAUGCGUCCAGCAAUUAUUGGUUUUGUUCUUUUUUCCCCCCUCUUAUCCUCAAAUUAUUGUAAUUUUUCAAUUGAUUAUGUUUUCAUGAUCCUUUGGGGGAAAAAUAUUUUUUUCCCCAAACGAUAAUAUGGAGGGAUAUAAAAAUGGAGAUUUGAACUCCGGACUCCAAUCCCCAGGAGUCCUUGCUAGCUCCCAGAAUGCCCUCUAAUCUCACUGAGAUUUCCAUCUGGGCGAGGUCAAGAAUUUCUAUUUAACCUGGCUGUAAAGGCUACUGGGUCUCUUUCCUACUUCCACUUCGGAGCACACGCGGUUCUCCACCUAGCAGGCAAGAUGUGAGUGAUCGUGAAUAGGCUCUCUAGGCCUAGCACGUGCCUUUCUUAUUUGUAUUUUCCUAAAUUCCUUAUCUUAAAUAAACCUCUAAAAAUACAA